GACGAACGCUGGCGGCGUGCUUAACACAUGCAAGUCGAACGGAAAGGCCCUGCUUUUGUGGGGUGCUCGAGUGGCGAACGGGUGAGUAACACGUGAGUAACCUGCCCUUGACUUUGGGAUAACUUCAGGAAACUGGGGCUAAUACCGGAUAGGAGCUCCUGCUGCAUGGUGGGGGUUGGAAAGUUUCGGCGGUUGGGGAUGGACUCGCGGCUUAUCAGCUUGUUGGUGGGGUAGUGGCUUACCAAGGCUUUGACGGGUAGCCGGCCUGAGAGGGUGACCGGCCACAUUGGGACUGAGAUACGGCCCAGACGCCUACGGGAGGCAGCAGUGGGGAAUCUGGCGCAAUGGGCGGAAGCCUGAUGCAGCAACGCCGCGUGCGGGAUGACGGCCUUCGGGUUGUAAACCGCUUUCGCCUGUGACGAAGCGUGAGUGACGGUAAUGGGUAAAGAAGCACCGGCUAACUACGUG
rnacentral:rRNA from 1 species